GCGAUCCACCUGCCUUGGCCUCCUAAAGUGCUGGGAUUACAGGCAUGAGCCACCAUGCCUGGUCAGAGCUACAUGGUUAAUUCACACAAAAACAAACCAGUGGAUUCUUUUUCAUGUUCCAGCCAUCACUACAACUGUCCAGACCCAGGAGAUUGCUGGAGGGUCCCAGCUUUACGCGGACCUGGAGUGCCACCCAGAUGUUGAUACAGAUGGCCAGAGAUUGUUUGCUCAAGGUCACACAGUAAGAGGUGGAAGUUGGUAUUUCCAUUCCAGCCAAUCUAUCUGAUUACAAAGGGAUCUCCUCACAGUACCUGGGCAUUGCUGAAGGAACAAAGAAUAAAGAGUGUGAGAGAGA